CCCCUCUCAGGGUCGCACCUGGAGUGUUUCCAGUACCUUACCAGUCUCGUCUAUGGGAGGGAGAGUCAAGGAGAGGCAUAUCCAUUCCAUUCCUAGCUUGGCCAGUGGCUAGCGAGUGGAAGGCAAUCUCCUACAAGU
rfam:Ornithorhynchus anatinus chromosome 4, whole genome shotgun sequence.